rnacentral:rRNA from 1 species
GAUGAACGCUGGCGGCGUGCCUAAUACAUGCAAGUCGAACGAGGUCUUCGGACCUAGUGGCGAACGGGUGAGUAACACGUUGGUACCUACCCUCUAGUGGGGAAUAACUGGCCGAAAGGUCGGCUAAUACCGCAUAAUACCGCAAGGUUAAAGCAGUAAUGCGCUAGAGGAGGGGCCUGCGUCUGAUUAGCUAGUUGGUGGUGUAAUGGACCACCAAGGCGACGAUCAGUAGCNGGAUCGAGAGGUUGACCAGCCACACUGGGACUGAGAUACGGCCCAGACUCCUACGGGAGGCAGCAGUAAGGAAUCUUCCACAAUGGACGAAAGUCUGAUGGAGCAACGCCGCGUGCAGGAUGACGGUCUUCGGAUUGUAAACUGCUUUUAUACGGGAAGAUUAUGACGGUACCGUAUGAAUAAGCACCGGCUAAC